rnacentral:rRNA from 1 species
UGAACGCUGGCGGCGUGCCUAAUACAUGCAAGUCGAGCGAACAGACGCGGAGCUUGCUCCUCUGACGUUAGCGGCGGACGGGUGAGUAACACGUGGAUAACCUACCUAUAAGACUGGGAUAACUUCGGGAAACCGGAGCUAAUACCGGAUAAUAUAUUGAACCGCAUGGUUCAAUAGUGAAAGACGGUUUUGCUGUCACUUAUAGAUGGAUCCGCGGCGCAUUAGCUAGUUGGUAAGGUAACGGCUUACCAAGGCGACGAUGCGUAGCCGACCUGAGAGGGUGAUCGGCCACACUGGAACUGAGACACGGUCCAGACUCCUACGGGAGGCAGCAGUAGGGAAUCUUCCGCAAUGGGCGAAAGCCUGACGGAGCAACGCCGCGUGAGUGAUGAAGGUCUUCGGAUCGUAAAACUCUGUUAUUAGGGAAGAACAAAUGUGUAAGUAACUAUGCACGUCUUGACGGUACCUAAUCAGAAAGCCACGGCUAACUACGUG